rnacentral:rRNA from 1 species
AACGAACGCUGGCGGCGUGCCUAACACAUGCAAGUCGAACGAGAAAGGGGCUUCGGCUCCGAGUAAAGUGGCGCACGGGUGAGUAACACGUAGGUAACCUGCCUCUAAGUUUGGGAUAACCUGUCGAAAGACGAGCUAAUACCAAAUAAGACCACAGUCUCCUUGGAGACAGAGGUCAAAGGUAGCCUCUAUUUAUAAGCUAUCGCUAAGAGAUGGGCCUGCGUACCAUUAGCUAGUUGGUGAGGUAACGGCUCACCAAGGCAAAGAUGGUUAGCUGGUCUGAGAGGAUGAUCAGCCACACUGGAACUGAGACACGGUCCAGACUCCUACGGGAGGCAGCAGUGGGGAAUAUUGCGCAAUGGGCGAAAGCCUGACGCAGCAACGCCGCGUGAGUGAUGAAGGCCUUCGGGUCGUAAAGCUCUGUCGGAGGGAACGAAUGCUCUCAAGGUUAACAGCCUCGGGAGGUGACGGUACCCUCAAAGGAAGCACCGGCUAACUCUGUGC